GUCAACGAUCAUACCAUGUUGAAAACACCAGUUCUCGUCCGAUCACUGAAGUUAAGCAACAUCGGGCGCGAUUAGUACUUACACGCAGAAAAAUGGCGCUUGUUUAAA
rnacentral:rRNA from 2 species